AUGAGGUCGUGCUUGUGGAUUUUCGUCCUUGGGAGUUUAAUCGUGACUGGAGUCAAGAUGCAAGAUUCUCCAGCAGAUGACCUUGCGCCAGAGGAAUCAGCCGUUCCUGAUGAAGCUGCAGAUGCUGAAAAACCAGCUGAAGAUCCUGCACCUGAAGAAACACCAGAGGAAACACAUGAGGAAACACCUGAGGAAACACCUGAAGAAACACCUGAGGAAACACCUGAGGAAACACCCGAGGAAACACCUGAAGAAACACCUGAGGAAACACCCGAGGAAACAGCAGAAAAGGCAGCAGCUCCUGCAGAGCCUGAAGCUGAAGACACAAACCCUGACACAGACGCCGCGGCAGAAGAUGCUAAAGAAACACCAGCAGGUGAUCUGAUCUAAACAUAAAGACAUUACACUCCACAAACAACACACAACACCCAGAAUACAGAUUCAAAACAGCCACAGAAACCUGACAGAUCAGGACAUUUUAAAAAAGGAGUUUCUGUCAGAGAACAUGUCCUCAGCCCUGAAAUAUUUCAUAGCCAGAAGCUGCUCUUUCUGAAUGCAAUCUUUAAUCAAAUGAUUUCAAAAAUCCUUCAAAUAUCCUGUAACCAUGAAGGCCUGGAAAAGUCAUAGAAAUUCAUCGGUCGGUGGGCUGGGAAGCCUGUAAUAAUCGUGUGGUUUGGACUAUGACGUAUUUUCCUCUCUAUUGCCGUUUCGCUGAAAAAACAGACGCAGAAGAUCAGACAUGCUGGUCUGGCAACUAAAUGAGUUCAAGUUUAAAUACUAAAAUUACUAACUGGAAAUAAAAUAACUAAAAAUAUUAAAAAUCA
ensembl:lncRNA